UACGAAGGGGGCUAGCGUUGCUCGGAUUGACUGGGCGUAAAGGGCGCGUAGGCGGUUCGUACAGUCAGACGUGAAAUUCCUGGGCUCAACCUGGGGGCUGCGUUUGAUACGUGCGGACUUGAGUGCGGAAGAGGGUCGUGGAAUUCCCAGUGUAGAGGUGAAAUUCGUAGAUAUCGAGAGGAACACCUGCGGCGAAGGCGGGUUGCUGGGCUGACACUGACGCUGAUGCGCGAAAGCCAGGGGAGCGAACGGG
rnacentral:rRNA from 1 species